AGGUGCGCCGCGUGUGCCUAAUACAUGCAAGUCGUACGCACUGGCCCAACUGAUUGAUGGUGCUUGCACCUGAUUGACGAUGGAUCACCAGUGAGUGGCGGACGGGUGAGUAACACGUAGGUAACCUGCCCCGGAGCGGGGGAUAACAUUUGGAAACAGAUGCUAAUACCGCAUAACAACAAAAGCCGCAUGGCUUUUGUUUGAAAGAUGGCUUUGGCUAUCACUCUGGGAUGGACCUGCGGUGCAUUAGCUAGUUGGUAAGGUAACGGCUUACCAAGGCGAUGAUGCAUAGCCGAGUUGAGAGACUGAUCGGCCACAAUGGAACUGAGACACGGUCCAUACUCCUACGGGAGGCAGCAGUAGGGAAUCUUCCACAAUGGGCGCAAGCCUGAUGGAGCAACACCGCGUGAGUGAAGAAGGGUUUCGGCUCGUAAAGCUCUGUUGUUGGAGAAGAACGUGCGUGAGAGUAACUGUUCACGCAGUGACGGUAUCCAACCAGAAAGUCACGGCUAACUACGUGCCAGCAGCCGCGGUAAUACGUAGGUGGCAAGCGUUAUCCGGAUUUAUUGGGCGUAAAGCGAGCGCAGGCGGUUGCUUAGGUCUGAUGUGAAAGCCUUCGGCUUAACCGAAGAAGUGCAUCGGAAACCGGGCGACUUGAGUGCAGAAGAGGACAGUGGAACUCCAUGUGUAGCGGUGGAAUGCGUAGAUAUAUGGAAGAACACCAGUGGCGAAGGCGGCUGUCUGGUCUGCAACUGACGCUGAGGCUCGAAAGCAUGGGUAGCGAACAGGAUUAGAUACCCUGGUAGUCCAUGCCGUAAACGAUGAGUGCUAGGUGUUGGAGGGUUUCCGCCCUUCAGUGCCGGAGCUAACGCAUUAAGCACUCCGCCUGGGGAGUACGACCGCAAGGUUGAAACUCAAAGGAAUUGACCAGGGGGCCCGCACAAGCGGUGGAGCAUGUGGUUUAAUUCGAAGCUACGCGAAGAACCUUACCAGGUCUUGACAUCUUGCGCUAACCUUAGAGAUAAGGCGUUCCCUUCGGGGACGCAAUGACAGGUGGUGCAUGGUCGUCGUCAGCUCGUGUCGUGAGAUGUUGGGUUAAGUCCCGCAACGAGCGCAACCCUUGUUACUAGUUGCCAGCAUUAAGUUGGGCACUCUAGUGAGACUGCCGGUGACAAACCGGAGGAAGGUGGGGACGACGUCAGAUCAUCAUGCCCCUUAUGACCUGGGCUACACACGUGCUACAAUGGACGGUACAACGAGUCGCAAGCUCGCGAGAGUAAGCUAAUCUCUUAAAGCCGUUCUCAGUUCGGACUGUAGGCUGCAACUCGCCUACACGAAGUCGGAAUCGCUAGUAAUCGCGGAUCAGCAUGCCGCGGUGAAUACGUUCCCGGGCCUUGUACACACCGCCCGUCACACCAUGGGAGUUUGUAACGCCCAAAGUCGGGGCCUAACUUUAGGAGGGAGCCGCUAAGGCGGACAGGAUCGUUCGACUUUUUGUUCCCGCCC
rnacentral:rRNA from 2 species